GGGGUCGACUGGUUUUGACAGCAAUUGAAAUAAUUCAGUAAGCAUGCCGAGCACUGUGAAUACGGCUCGUUAAUAUCGAUUCUCAAGCCUUUAAUUGGCAACAAUAACUAUGCUCUUGCCGCAUAAUCGGAACUCAGUUCUAUUGUGCUUAUUUAAGUGAAGUAAAGUAGCUUGAAGCAAGUGCCCGGUAAUGGAGAUUGUCUUGCCUUCAUUGCAUUGGGUAUCAUAAAACAGGACUAGCAAAAGCAGCGCUUCACUGCCGUAGCGAAUUUUAAGAAGCUAAGCUUUAAGUGGGCUGUCAGUGGCCAGCUUUUUGUCGAAAACCAAUCACCGAAUAAGCAUGUAGAAAGCUCAAUUGUUCUUUGUUUGGACGGGAGUUCGAUUCUCCCCGACUCCAC
rnacentral:tmRNA from 1 species